AAAAAGAUAAGCUAAUAAAAGCUCAUAGGUUCAUACCCUUUAUAUGAAAGUUUUAAUCUUUCUCUUUUUA
rnacentral:tRNA from 1 species